AGAGUUUGAUCAUGGCUCAGGACGAACGCUGGCGGCGUGCCUAAUGCAUGCAAGUCGAGCGGGCUACGAUCUUCGGAUUGUAGCUUAGCGGCGAACGGGUGAGUAACACGUAGGUAAUCUACCCUUCAGAGGAGGACAACCUCAGGAAACUGAGGCUAAACCUUCAUACGUUCACUGGUAGGGAUACUGGUGAAGAAAGAGUUACCUUAGUGGUAGCUGCUGAAGGAUGAGCCUGCGGCCCAUCAGGUAGUUGGUGAGGUAACGGCUCACCAAGCCGAAGACGGGUAACCGGUCUGAGAGGAUGUCCGGUCACACUGGGACUGAGACACGGCCCAGACUCCUACGGGAGGCAGCAGCAGGGAAUCUUGGGCAAUGGGCGAAAGCCUGACCCAGCGACGCCGCGUGGAGGAAGAAGUCCUUCGGGGCGUAAACUCCUGGACUGGGGGGCGAGGAAGGACGGUACCCCAGUAGAAAGGGACGGCUAACUACGUGCCAGCAGCCGCGGUAAAACGUAGGUCCCGAGCGUUGUUCGGAUUCACUGGGUGUAAAGGGCGCGUAGGUGGUUGUCUGUGUCUCAUGUGAAAACUCAGGGCUCAACUCUGAGAUUGCGUGGGAAACUAGGCAGCUAGAGGACGGUAGAGGGGAGUGGAAUUCCCGGUGUAGCGGUAAAAUGCGUAGAUAUCGGGAGGAACACCGGUGGCGAAGGCGGCUCUCUGGGCCGAUCCUGACGCUGAGGCGCGAAAGCUAGGGGAGCGAACCGGAUUAGAUACCCGGGUAGUCCUAGCCGUAAACGAUGGGUGCUAGGUGUUGGGGGGGUAAAGACCCUUCAGUGCCGAAGCCAACGCGAUAAGCAUCCCACCUGGGGAGUACGGCCGCAAGGUUGAAACUCAAAUGAAUUGACGG
rnacentral:rRNA from 1 species